UCAGUUUAUGACACUACAUAUAUAUUAUAUAUGUUAUUGCUUCAUGAUCAACAAAAUCUUAGUGCAGUUAUCCAAGAAAAGAUUGCAUUUAGCUACAUGAACAUGCAACUUCAUAAGCAAAACCAGGUCAAUCCUAGGUAAAGUUUUCACUUAGGUAGACUAAAACCAAUAAAGUUCUCCAGUAACUUUCUGGGGAUCCCGGUUUGGAAACAAAAUCAAUGGAGUGAAUUAAAGUGAAAACAAUUUCUAAACAUUUAGCUAAUGCGUUUGGAAAGCCACAAUGUAAUUGAAUUUGUGUGUAAUUGGAGGUAAUUACACAAUUUGACAUGUUUGUCCGACUAUGUAAUUACACUGUAACUGUGUAAUUGGAAGUAAUUGAGGGGUUCCAAUUACACUCUUCAAUUCUCAUGGCCCCCCAUGAGAAUUGAAUGUAAUUACACUGUGUAAUUACUAAAAACUUUCCAUAUUAAACAUUAGCUAUUAAAAAAUUUUAUUUUCUCAUGUAAUUACUAACUAUUUUGCCAAACAAGAUAUUAGGAAUUCAUAUGUAAUUACCACCUCAUAUCCAAACACACCUUGUAUUUUAAAAUAUAGUGUAAUUACUAAACUGUGUAAUUACUACCCCAGUAAUUACCCUACCUAGGAAUUAUACAGUUACUUCCAAACACACCCUUAAUAUUUUUAAGUACCUCUGGGAUACCAACGAAUGCAGAGAGCUCUCACACUGCUGACAUCAACUACAACAUGGGAGAAAAGGCUAGCUAAUUCUGG